UCCCAUCGUUAGGGCCACAAGGUAGGAGCU
rnacentral:piRNA from 1 species